rnacentral:rRNA from 1 species
CCCUUAGAUGUUCUGGGCCGCACGCGCGCUACACUGAUGCAUUCAACAAGCCUAGCCUUGACCGAGAGGUCCGGGUAAUCUUUGAAACUGCAUCGUGAUGGGGCUAGAUUAUUGCAAUUAUUAAUCUUCAACGAGGAAUGCCUAGUAAGCGUGAUUCAUCAAAUCGCGUUGAUUACGACCCUGCCCUUUGUACACACCGCCCGUCGCUCCUACCGAUUGAAUGUGUUGGUGAGGAGCUCGGAUUGGCAGCAGUUGGUGGUUCGCCACCGGCUAUUGCUGAGAAGUCCUCCAAACCGCCCCAUUUAGAGGAAGGAGAAGUCGUAACA